AGUGAAUUGCUUCCUGUUUGCUGUUCACACCACGGCUACAUAGAGCUGCUACACCACAACGGUCUCCAGCCGGUCGGUCACUCUAACUGAAGAGCUAAGUUAGAGACAAUGAUCCUGAUCCACGUGAUCACCACAAUUCUGGGAACAGCAGCUAUCACCGAAGGUACACCUCAGUACAGAGCUUUGGAAUGCAACCUAACUGGACCUCUUGCAGACCAGACGUGUUUUGUUGCACUUGGGAAGCCACUUAUUUUUCACCUGCCAACUCAUACAACUAUGAAGACAAGUUUGAAAAAGAAUAACGUUCAGAUUUUAACGCUCACCAGUGAUGCAUGUGGUGUGAGUGACAAAUACGGAAAUAUCUCCACAUUGAAGAAUAAUGGAACAUUUAAAAUUAACCUUGCGACGAGGGACGACGCUGGAGAUUACAAGCUGGAAAUAUAUUCAUCUACCAGUGGUGAACGUUUACAGAGGGUCAACGUUCAUCUAGAAAUAAUAGAACCAGUGUCAGAUCCAAAUGUGUCUCAGACGUGUUUGUCACCAGAACAGAUGAACAUCAGCUGUUCAGCUGAAGGAGAUGGAGUGAAGUUCACUUUAUCUCUAGACGACAACGAACUGAUGCAGACCAGAGAGGGAAGUACAGGAAAACUAAAUGUUUCAAACGUUAGUUUCAUCUUACACGGUCAACUGGUAGGAAAGCUGGUGUGUCGGGUUCAGAACGAUGUCAGCAGAGAACAGACGUCCAUCCAGCUUACAAGCUGUAACGGUACUUCAUUUUCAAACUAUAUACACUUAUAUAUACUGGGUAUAUAUACUGUCAAUGUUUCAUUUGUAAUGUUUUUCUAUUUCGUAGGUGUCAGUUCCCACCCAGUGUUGGUGACCAUGGCUGUGAAAGCAAGCGUGGUUUGUGUGCUUCUGGUUUUGGUUGUUUUUCUAGGCAUCAAGCGCUUCAAACAGAGAAAAAACAAAGCUAGAGUUGUGUAAGAAAGCAAUUCCCUUUGAAUCCUAAGCCUAUUUUGCUUGUACUUCUUAUCAACGUCCCGAGAUGUGGGGACUUCAGGGUUUUGAGUGUUAAUUUUCCCUUUGCCUCACAUAAGACCAUAUCGACAAUGAUUUGAUAUGUAACAAAAACAAUAUUCUUUAUGUUGCAAAAACAGUGAAGUUGGAUCUAUCUUAUUUUGAAAAUGACAGUUUUCAAGCUUGAAAAUGAUUGAUCUGACAACUUUUCAAACUAAUUAACAGCAUUCAUCACUUUUCAAUUGAUCUGAUUCAGGUUCAUUUACCUACUUCUUUCAGGUGAUGGACAAGAUGAAAUGCCAAUCUGAACAUAAUCAUUACCAUUUUUUUAAAGCUUGGAAAUAGCAGAUAUGACAACCUUUCAAAUCAACUACAAUAAUAAGGUUCAACAUUUUUCAGUGAAUGUGAUUAUCAAAUUUGAUGUGAGGUGAUGCAGAAUAUGAUAGCGUGCUGUCAGUGACUCCAGCAGCGCGUCAGCUGCAUGGUUAGUGAGAAAACUACACAGACGUUAAUGUCGAAUGCAAUGAACCCUCAGUGUGACCAACAGGACUUCUGCAUGGCAUUUUCUUUGUUUCCUUGACUGACACUAAUCUCUUUCAUUAAAGUCAAUAUCCAAA